rnacentral:rRNA from 1 species
UACAGAGGGUGCGAGCGUUGUCCGGAAUCACUGGGCGUAAAGGGCGCGUAGGCGGUCUGCUAAGCGUGUGGUGAAAGCUCGGGGCUCAACCCCGCGUCGGCCAUGCGAACUGGUGGACUGGAGCUUGUCAGAGGCAGGCGGAAUUCCGGGUGUAGCGGUGGAAUGCGUAGAGAUCCGGAAGAACACCGGUGGCGAAGGCGGCCUGCUGGGCGGCGACUGACGCUGAGGCGCGACAGCGUGGGGGAGCAAACAGG